UUCAUUUCUCCCGUCCUUUCUUCUUCUUCUUUAUUUCGUUUCUUUCCUUUCUUCCAUCCGACCAGAACGAGAGAGAGAGAGAGAGAAACCGAGAGAGAUGGAGAGAAUCAGAAAGAACUUGAGGGAGAUGUGCGGUGGUCUAGCCAAUGUUUGGGGCGGACGACGGCGCCGGAACCGGUGGGUAACGGCCCGACCCCGGUGAAGCCAAGGAGCUUAUUUCUGGCGUUUUCUCGGUACCCAAACGAGUAGAAAUCCAUUUUUGGGAGCUCCAACGGCAUGCGGAUAUGGACAACAGGGAGCUAAUAGGAGUUUGGCAAGAAAUUUGAGGCUAUAAUGGAAUGCAGGGGUCUAUGGGAAAACGAGAAUUUGGAGAUUCGUUGGAAAGCUUCUCUAGAAGGUUUUGACAAUGUCAAUUGGGAUGCUCCUAUCAAUAGAAAUAAAAUGAAGAUGAGUAUUAGUGUUAUUAUUAGAGAUAAAUGGGCGAAGAGCUGGCCACACUGUUAGAGCUAAAAGAUUACAUCAUUGCACCAGAUAUUGCAGAAGCCAUGGUGGCGUUAAGGACAACCAAUUCAAUAGUGAAUUGGGGUUCUAUAAAGUAUUUCUAGAACGUGAUGCUCUCCAAAUAGUGGAAGAGCUGAAAAAAGAAGAGAAAAAUACGAGUAAAUAUGGCCAUCUCAUUAAGGACAUUCAAGGUAUACUGAAAGGUUUGCAAAAUUGGCAGGUUAAUCAUAAUAGUCGUAAUUUAAAUGGUACGACUCACUAGAUUGCUAAGCAUGUAUUAUACUUGAGUGAAGAGCAAUGUUUUCUUGAGGAAACCACCCAUAUAUUUCUGAUAUUAUUUCUGCACAUCAAUGUAAUUAAAUUGAUUAUUUAUAUAAG